rnacentral:rRNA from 1 species
UACCAGCACCCCGAGUGGUCGGGACGAUUAUUGGGCCUAAAGCAUCCGUAGCCGGUUCUACAAGUCUUCCGUUAAAUCCAACUGCUUAACAGGUGGGCUGCGGAAGAUACUAUAGAGCUAGGAGGCGGGAGAGGCAAGCGGUACUCGAUGGGUAGGGGUAAAAUCCGUUGAUCCAUUGAAGACCACCAGUGGCGAAGGCGGCUUGCCAGAACGCGCUCGACGGUGAGGGAUGAAAGCUGGGGGAGCAAGCCACGG